rnacentral:rRNA from 1 species
GAAUGCUGACAUAAGUAACGAUAAAGCGGGUGAAAAGCCCGCUCGCCGGAAGACCAAGGGUUCCUGUCCAACGUUAAUCGGGGCAGGGUGAGUCGACCCCUAAGGCGAGGCCGAAAGGCGUAGUCGAUGGGAAACGGGUUAAUAUUCCCGUACUUGGUGUUACUGCGAAGGGGGGACGGAGAAGGCUAUGUUGGCCGGGCGACGGUUGUCCCGGUUUAAGCGUGUAGGUGUGUGUUCCAGGUAAAUCCGGUUCACUUUAACACUGAGGCGUGAUGACGAGGCACUACGGUGCUGAAGCAACAAAUGCCCUGCUUCCAGGAAAAGCCUCUAAGCAUCAGGUAACAUCAAAUCGUACCCCAAACCGACACAGGUGGUCAGGUAGAGAAUACCAAGGCGCUUGAGAGAACUCGGGUGAAGGAACUAGGCAAAAUGGUGCCGUAACUUCGGGAGAAGGCACGCUGACACGUAGGUGAAGUGAUUUACUCAUGGAGCUGAAGUCAGUCGAAGAUACCAGCUGGCUGCAACUGUUUAUUAAAAACACAGCACUGUGCAAACACGAAAGUGGACGUAUACGGUGUGACGCCUGCCCGGUGCCGGAAGGUUAAUUGAUGGGGUCAGCGCAAGCGAAGCUCCUGAUCGAAGCCCCGGUAAACGGCGGCCGUAACUAUAACGGUCCUAAGGUAGCGAAAUUCCUUGUCGGGUAAGUUCCGACCUGCACGAAUGGCGUAAUGAUGGCCAGGCUGUCUCCACCCGAGACUCAGUGAAAUUGAACUCGCUGUGAAGAUGCAGUGUACCCGCGGCAAGACGGAAAGACCCCGUGAACCUUUACUAUAGCUUGACACUGAACAUUGAGCCUUGAUGUGUAGGAUAGGUGGGAGGCUUUGAAGCGUGGACGCCAGUCUGCGUGGAGCCGACCUUGAAAUACCACCCUUUAAUGUUUGAUGUUCUAACGUGGACCCGUAAUCCGGGUUGCGGACAGUGUCUGGUGGGUAGUUUGACUGGGGCGGUCUCCUCCUAAAGAGUAACGGAGGAGCACGAAGGUUGGCUAAUCCUGGUCGGACAUCAGGAGGUUAGUGCAAUGGCAUAAGCCAGCUUGACUGCGAGCGUGACGGCGCGAGCAGGUGCGAAAGCAGGUCAUAGUGAUCCGGUGGUUCUGAAUGGAAGGGCCAUCGCUCAACGGAUAAAAGGUACUCCGGGGAUAACAGGCUGAUACCGCCCAAGAGUUCAUAUCGACGGCGGUGUUUGGCACCUCGAUGUCGGCUCAUCACAUCCUGGGGCUGAAGUAGGUCCCAAGGGUAUGGCUGUUCGCCAUUUAAAGUGGUACGCGAGCUGGGUUUAGAACGUCGUGAGACAGUUCGGUCCCUAUCUGCCGUGGGCGCUGGAGAACUGAGGGGGGCUGCUCCUAGUACGAGAGGACCGGAGUGGACGCAUCACUGGUGUUCGGGUUGUCAUGCCAAUGGCACUGCCCGGUAGCUAAAUGCGGAAGAGAUAAGUGCUGAAAGCAUCUAAGCACGAAACUUGCCCCGAGAUGAGUUCUCCCUGAGACUUAGAGUCUCCUGAAGGAACGUUGAAGACGACGACG